AGUUUGAUCCAAAAGUUUUUCGAUUCAAAAAAAAUAUUCAAUGUUGCAAUUUAACUUUGCAACAAUUUAAUCAAAAAAAUACUACCGAGUGUCCAUUGUUUCUGGAUUUAUCACUAUAACAGCUAUCAAUUUUUUUUAACUACACAAUGAUUGAACAAAGAUGUUUAAAUUUUGUUUAUCCUAUGUUUAUUUUUAUCAAAUCAGCACAGGAUUCUAAAAGUAGAUAACAAAACAAAAAAAUCUUAGCCGGGGGUCACUUCUAGGGUUAUCAUAAAUCAAAGCUAAAUCUGCAUGUUAGCAUUUUGGAAAUCUCAAAAAGAAGAACAAAAACAAAAAUUCACUUACUUCAAUGAAUUAGGCCGGAUAACAGAAUUUAAUUUAUUCUUACCAAUAAAUCCGAUUUGAAGAAGACAAAUCACCAAGAAACCUCGAGAAUACCAGCCGAAUUGUUCCAUGUUUAAUUCUGUU